AACGAACGCUGGCGGCAGGCUUAACACAUGCAAGUCGAGCGCGCCGAAAGGGGAGCGGCAGACGGGUGAGUAACGCGUGGGAAUGUGCCCUUUGGUCUGGAAUAACUCAGGGAAACUUGAGCUAAUACCGGAUAAGCCCUUCGGGGGAAAGAUUUAUUGCCAUUGGAGCAGCCCGCGUCAGAUUAGCUAGUUGGUGAGGUAAAAGCUCACCAAGGCGAUGAUCUGUAGCUGGUCUGAGAGGACGACCAGCCACACUGGGACUGAGACACGGCCCAGACUCCAACGGGAGGCAGCAGUGGGGAAUAUUGGACAAUGGGGGCAACCCUGAUCCAGCCAUGCCGCGUGAGUGAUGAAGGCCUUAGGGUUGUAAAGCUCUUUUACUCGGGAAGAUAAUGACUGUACCGAGAGAAUAAGCCCCGGCUAACUUCGUGCCAGCAGCCGCCGUAA
rnacentral:rRNA from 1 species